rnacentral:lncRNA from 1 species
CGUGUGUUGCAUGGCAGGGACACUUCCCACUGUCCCAGGGAGCUCCAGCCUGGCCUCAAACCCUUCCAGGGACACAGGAUGGGGGAAAAGGACCUGGGAUAACGGGGAAACUCCUGCCUGGGAGAUCAGGAAUCAUCUCCAGGUGCUCUGGGAGCUCAUCCGUGUGUUCCCAGCUGGGGAAACUGAGGCACGAGGGCUGCCAGGGCCUUGGGACAGGGCUCUGGAAGGGCUGGGAUCCUGCUCCCUUUUCCCAGCUGCUCUUCCCUGGCUGUCCCAGAUCCCUGUCACCAGAGCUCAGCAGAGCCACAGAGCUGCCACUGAAGCCAGGACCCGUCAGAUGGGGCAGAUUUAGGUCAGGAACAGAGCAGUGACUCCAAACAGGUUUGGAUCCCUCCCUUUGAUGGCUCUGGCACUUCCCAGGUGAUGGAGAGCUUUCCCAUGGAUUUCUGCUAAGGACAAGAUGAGAACAUUUAAAAGCCUGGUGAGGAAGAGCCCGGCAGCAAUCCCGGAGCUGGCUGGGGAGGAAGGAGCCAGCAGAGCUGGGAGUGAUUGGCAGCACACGGAUCAACAAAGGAGCUCGGAAUCACGAUG